GCCCCCGUAGUUCAACGGAUAGAAUGGGAGUUUGCGGAACUUCUGAUUACAGUUCGAUUCUGUACGGGGGCG
rnacentral:tRNA from 1 species